rnacentral:rRNA from 1 species
GAUGAACGCUGGCGGCGUGCUUAAUACAUGCAAGUCGAACGGAGAUUGUAGCAAUACAUUCUUAGUGGCGAACGGGUGAGUAACGCGUUGGUAACCUGCCCCGAAGAGAGGGAUAACAAUUCGAAAGAAUUGCUAAUACCCCAUGUGAUCCUCAGCAUUAGAUGGCUGAUGAUUAAACGGAUUUAUUCGCUUUGGGAGGGGCCUGCGUCCCAUCAGCUAGUUGGUAGGGUAAUGGCCUACCAAGGCUAUGACGGGUAGGGGACCUGAGAGGGUGACCCCCCACACUGGCACUGAAACACGGGCCAGACACCUACGGGUGGCAG